rnacentral:rRNA from 1 species
AGAGUUUGAUCCUGGCGUCAGGAUGAACGCUGGCGGCGUGCUUAACACAUGCAAGUCGAACGAGGAACACUGAUGAAGUUUUCGGAUGGAAUCGGUAUUCCGAGUGGCGGACGGGUGAGUAACGCGUGGGUAACCUGCCCUGUACAGGGGGAUAACAGUUGGAAACGACUGUUAAUACCGCAUAAGACCACAGCACCGCAUGGUGCAGGGGUAAAAACUCCGGUGGUACAGGAUGGACCCGCGUCCAAUUAGCUAGUUGGUGAGGUAACGGCCCACCAAGGCGACGAUUGGUAGCCGAUCUGAGAGGAUGACCGGCCACAUUGGGACUGAGACACGGCCCAAACUCCUACGGGAGGCAGCAGUGGGGAAUAUUGCACAAUGGGGGAAACCCUGAUGCAGCGACGCCGCGUGAGUGAUGAAGUAUUUCGGUAUGUAAAGCUCUAUCAGCAGGGAAGAAAAUGACGGUACCUGAGUAAGAAGCCCCGGCUAACUACGUGCC